UUACGGCCAUAUCACGUUGAAACACCAGUUACAGUUCACCGAAGUAAAGCAAUAUCGAUCCUGAUCAGUACCUAGAUGGGUGACCGCUUAGAAAUACCAGGUGUUGCAAGC